AACGAACGCUGGCGGCAGGCUUAACACAUGCAAGUCGAACGCGUGUAGCAAUACACGAGUGGCGCACGGGUGAGUAACGCGUGGAUAUCUGCCUUUUGGUUCGGAAUAACCCCGGGAAACUGGGGCUAAUACCGGAUGGUUCCUACGGGAUAAAGAUUUAUCGCCAAAAGAUGAGUCCGCGUACGAUUAGCUAGUUGGUGGGGUAAUGGCUCACCAAGGCGACGAUCGUUAGCUGGUCUGAGAGGACGAUCAGCCACACUGGGACUGAGACACGGCCCAGACUCCUACGGGAGGCAGCAGUGGGGAAUAUUGGACAAUGGGGGCAACCCUGAUCCAGCCAUGCCGCGUGAGUGAUGAAGGCCUUCGGGUUGUAAAGCUCUUUUGGCGGGGACGAUGAUGACGGUACCCGCAGAAUAAGCCCCGGCUAACUUCGUGCCAGCAGCCGCCGUAACAC
rnacentral:rRNA from 1 species